GAUUUAUAACCACUUGCUUAGUAUCCCCCAGACUCAACACAGUGCUUGGCACACAAUAAGUGCUUAAUAAGUUUUUACUUUUUGUAAAAUUUAAAGAUUUUUGAAAUUCAAAAUUUAUUGGGUUUGGCACAUUUAAGGUCAUUCUUUUCCAAAUCUCAAAAUGGGAUGUUAGAAAACCUUAAAAUUGAUGGGACGACAUUAUUUUCACAUUACCAAAUAUCCAGUUAAAUAUGUUUUGUGAUUUCCCAGUAAAAAACAAAAUAAAUUAAAGACAAAAUAAAUUUAAAUAAAGUUAGCUCAGAGGUCCAAACUCAUGGAUUACAAAUUCACGUGGAGCAUUGCGUUUUCCUACCGGAAUGUGAUGUGUGAGCACCGAUGUUUCCACCAGAUCCUCCGGCUUGUGGAUUACUCCAUUCAUCAACACCAGUGGAUCCUAGAAGAAAAGAACAUUUUGAAAGUGACUUUGUGUCUUUGGGGAUGCUCUUCUUUAAACAUCAGUAGGAAUAAACAUUCUCUUUAUGGCUAUAAAGGAAAUUAAACACCACAGACCCCAGAAAAUAAUAACAAUUAAAAUACUAAUUACAACAUGAGUUUACAUUUAUUUUAACACCCCCCAAACACCAAUAAAAAUUUAAAAGAUGUAAAUUCUCUUCCCAGAACCAAUUAUCAAAACAAAGAUUUCACUUUAGCUCUCUUAGGAGAAGAUAAUACUUAAGCUAACUAGAAACAAGAAUGAAUUAAUAUAUUUCUACUUUUGGUAGAUUUGAAAAGUGUAGUUUGAAAUACAGUUUCUGAGAGAAAACUGGAUUUAUUUUCCUCAUUCUGGAGUCUUCUUUGUGGUUGUUGGUAUCACCAUUCUUUCAUAUUCUUAAGCUCAGUGCCUAGAGAGAAUUUUGGGUUUUGUUUUGUUUAACUUUUUCCUCUCCAUUACCUGCUAUGAUGCUAAUUCAAAUCCUUCUUAGUUGGUAGUAAUGGCCAUGUAAGGCAGGGAUGAUUCUCAACCCUGUUUUACAGAUAAUCAAGCUAAGCACACAGGAUGACUGCCCAAGAAGCAAGUGACCGCAAUGGUGAAGCUGGGCCUCCACCCUGCCGUCUGGCUGACUUCAAGGCCUGCACAGCCUCUUAAGCCGCAUCCUGCUUGCUGCCUCCAAGCUUUCCUGACUGCAGCCUUUUCUCCAGUCACUUUUGAUAGAGGAGUUAAGAAGAAAUUACUUAGGCAGAUAGUGAGGGUAUGGAAGUCCUCGGUAAGGUUUUCCUUUUAAUGAAAAGCAGCCCCAAAUCAUUUUCCUUUCUAACAAACAGCAGCCUGUAAAAUCAAGCUGCAGACAUAGAUGCCGGCAGUUGUGCCAAUCAUGUUCAGAAUGGUGGCUCCCUUCUCCCUUCUCUGCCAGCCAUAUGUACAGUAAGGAGCAGACAACAUGGCUCGGGCCAAGGGUAAAGUUGAUUUGCAUAAUAAGAUUAGGGUGGGGCCCACCAGCCUUCCCCUGCACUAUGUAAACAUCACGCCUGACUGAACCAAUCUGUGAGCCCUAUGUAAAUCAGACAAUGCCUUCUCAAGCCUGACUAUAAAAUCCUGUGAGUCCACUGCCAGCCAGUCUUUCCUCUGGGAAGCCCCUCUCUCUCCCUAGAGAGAGCUGGUUUCCUUUCUCCUUUCUUUUUCUUUUGCAUAUUAAACUUCCACUCCUAAACUCCUCAUGUGUGUCCCUAUCCUAAAUUUUCUUGGUGCGAGACAAUGAACCAUGGGUAUUCACCCCACACAACGUAGCCUCUUCACUUUCUUCUUAAAUUUACCCAGACUGACCUUUCUAAUUCCCUGAGGCCACUUCUCAUUUUCCUGCUUCAGAACCAGCAGGAACUCCUGAGUGAAGUCCGAAUUCCUCUGCCGGACUUUUACCAUU
rnacentral:lncRNA from 10 species